UCAUAUUCAAUUGAAAAUGAGAAAACCAAAG
rnacentral:piRNA from 1 species